CAACGCGACCCCAGGUCAGGGGGGGGUACCCCCUUAGUUU
rnacentral:rRNA from 1 species